ensembl:misc_RNA Y_RNA Y RNA
GGCUGGUCCGAUGGCAGUGGGUUAUCAGAACUUAUUAACAUUAGUGUCACUAAAGUUGGUAUACCACCCCCCCCCACUGCUAAAUUUGACUGGCUUUUA